AUUCAUCUUCGGGGUCGGGUGUAAUUCCCAACCGGCAGUAAAUAAAGCCUGCGACGCUAGAAGAACACUAUGUAUAAAUAUAUGCGUUUUUCUUGCUUGAUUCAGUGAGAUUCUGAAGCCGACAGUAUAGUCUGGAUGGGAGAAGAUGGAG
rnacentral:ncRNA from 1 species